AUUGCCAUAAAACGUAGAGGGGCCGCCGAAAGGGCCCGUUGUCCCAGGCGGGCGUCUUUUCACCCCUGUGUGAUUCAGAUACCGUUUCGCAACAUCGCAGCCCUAGGAAAAGCCGCAGCUGGUACCGCAUAUAUAGUAAGCACAGAAGACUCAUAGAACUGUAGAGUUGGAAAGGGAUCCUGAGGGUUAUCUAGUCCAACCCUCCUGCAGAUGCGGGAAUACAUGAAGAUGAUCAGCGGCUGAUAUUCGAAGUUAGGCAAAGACCUCCCGAGAUCGAUGGGUUUUAGCCUGAGAGCAUAGCUCUAUGGGGUAUAUGACUCGCUUUCUGGAUCAAAGCAGUGUUUGAAAUUCUGCCAUGGCUGACAAUUGCUGGCAAAUGUUAAGAUUUCAGGAAGCCAGUGGCUGGUAAAGGACAGAAAAUCCUGGCAUUCACAGGCAAAACUGAAAAGUACUAGCUGUGAAGUAUCUGCUCAGAGGGCAUACUUCCAAGUACACAUGGUUACGAUGCAACCCCCACCAUGGAAUUGAGGACUAGGAAGAGCUUUGAUGGGACAAACUGAAGGUUCCGACCUCAAGUCCUGCUUUCAGCCAUACGCAACCAGAUACCUCAGUGAAACCUACAAGCAAUAAUUGACUCCCAGCAUUGCUGCCCAACUGUCUCUGAACUCAGGGACCCCACAGAGGGGUGGAGAUGCUUUCUUCAGAAACUGGGGGAAAGCAGGCAAGAUGGGCACCUGCUGCUUUCAGGAUGAAAUCCACUCUAGAGCCAAAAAACAACAACAACAAAAACAACAGUCCAGCAAAGAAAAAAAAAAUCAUUGAACAUACCACAUCGGAACACUGACAACUGAGCCAGCAUAGGCACUUGGUAAGUCUUUCCAUCAGCUCCGUUAAACGUUCGCUUUUUUGUGUUUUCUGGCUGAAAACGUGAUUUCCAUAGUCCCUUAAAGUAUACUGCAUUUACCAGCACCAAUCUGGUCAGCUCACUAUCAAGAGAAUCCGGAGAUAUGAUGCUGU